rnacentral:misc_RNA from 1 species
GUCCCCAAGGGUUAACGAACAAAGGUUUGUCUUCAUUAUUAUAGGCAUCGCCAAGAUGCAAUGCUUUCUCUAUUGCAUUCAAGCACAACGCAAAAAACUUCGAUGGGCAAUCUGAGUUUCCGCAAUCCUGUCGUUGAUGAUUACAAUCUUUCCGAUUCAGUUGAAUCUUGGUGGUUUCACUAUCAACAGGGUUUUUGUGACCUAAAUUAUCAUUUGAAAUGAUUGGAUUUUUUAUUUCACUUCUCAGAUGCAAAAGCUUCUCAUUUUUCUGUUCUAGAUGAUCUAUCUCUCUAUUAUUCCUACAAAGGGUGUCUUGACUCAGAUGAGCAUUCUUUCCCCUAGCAAAUACUCCCCUACUCACUUGGGCUGGAACAAUCUUUUUCUUAUCUUUUACUUUAAAAUCCAUUUUACCAUGCCGCUCAUUG